rnacentral:rRNA from 1 species
ACUCCUACGGGAGGCAGCAGUAGGGAAGUCUUCCACAAUGGGCGCAAGCCUGAUGGAGCAACACCGCGUGAGUGAAGAAGGGUUUCGGCUCGUAAAGCUCUGUUGUUAAAGAAGAACACGUAUGAGAGUAACUGUUCAUACGUUGACGGUAUUUAACCAGAAAGUCACGGCUAACUACGUGCCAGCAGCCGCGGUAAUACGUAGGUGGCAAGCGUUAUCCGGAUUUAUUGGGCGUAAAGAGAGUGCAGGCGGUUUUCUAAGUCUGAUGUGAAAGCCUUCGGCUUAACCGGAGAAGUGCAUCGGAAACUGGAUAACUUGAGUGCAGAAGAGGGUAGUGGAACUCCAUGUGUAGCGGUGGAAUGCGUAGAUAUAUGGAAGAACACCAGUGGCGAAGGCGGCUACCUGGUCUGCAACUGACGCUGAGACUCGAAAGCAUGGGUAGCGAACAGGAUUAGAUACCCUGGUAGGAUAGCG